rnacentral:rRNA from 1 species
GACGAACGCUGGCGGCGUGCUUAACACAUGCAAGUCGAGCGGUAAGGCCCUUCGGGGUUCACGUGCUGGGAAGGGGAGCGGAAGAGGAGGGUGAUAGGCCCCGCACUUCGGGUUUAGGAUGGGAAACUGGGUCUAAUACUAGAUACGACCCCGUAUCGCUGGGUGGGUGGUGGAGAGAUUUAUCGGCGGGGGAUGGGCACGCGGCCGAUCAGCUUGUUGGUGGGGUAAUGGCCUACCAAGGCGACGGCGGGUAGCCGACCUGAGAGGGUGACCGGCCACACUGGGACUGAGACACGGCCCAGACUCCUACGGGAGGCAGCAGUGGGGAAUAUUGCACAAUGGGCGGAAGCCUGAUGCAGCGACGCCGCGUGCGGGAUGACGGCCUUCGGGUUGUAAACCGCUUUCGGCAGGGACGAAGCGUGAGUGACGGUACCGGCUAAAGAAGCACCGGCUAACUACGUG